UGCCCCCACUGGGAGGACAGGGUCCUCAUCUGUAAGGAGGACGGAGGUCCUUAUGUAAGGAGGGCUGGCUGCCAGCCCUCCGGGUUGCUUUUUGUUUUGUCUCCGUGGCCACACUGGAAUGUUUGUCUGUUACUGUGUUCUUGUUAACUGUGUGUUUGUGUUGUUAACUGUCAUAACUGUGCCUUGGUGUGGACGGGGGACAUAAUGGGGCAAAUGCAAACCACACCCUUGUCUCUUAUGCUCUCCCACUUCUCGGAUGUUAGGGAAAGAGCUCGUAUUCUGAGCAUAGACAUACGGAGAGAGAGACUCCAAAUUUAUUGCAUAUCAGAAUGGCCAACCCUUGACGUGGGAUGGCCCUGAGAAGGAACUUUUUACCUACCUAUAAUCUUACAGGUUAAGGCUGUGAUCUUCAGAAACAAACCGGACGGCCACCGUGACCAGGUGCCCUACAUCCUGGUCUGGCAGGACAUGAUUGAGAAUUCCCCUCCUUGGGUAAAACCAUUUUUGCUCCCCAAAGCGCACAAUGGCUAAAGGUAAGGAGAGACUGGGUCCACCGCCAGACCCUAGGGGCAGGUCUCUAGGCUGCCGCGCGCAAGCCUACCAAUCUGGCCAAGGUAUGGUUAUGUAAGACAGGGUAAGGACGAGAGUCCAGCAGCCUUCUUAGAGAGAAUACUAGGAGAGAAGAGCUUGCAGGACUUAUAGUAGCAGAAAGAGUCAAUAAUAAUAAAGUCCAGAAGAGCAACAAAGCAAAGUAAGUGACUGGCAGACCCGAAACCUGGCCAGGAUCCUGCUGGCCACAACCAUGGACGACCCACAGGAAAGACCGAGGCACCUCAAGAAGCUGGCUUCAGGGACAGGUAAGGAGGAUGACCCUGGUCCUUGUCGGGAGUGCCCUAAGCUGAACAAAACCCAAUGUGCUUAUUGCAAAGAAGAGGGCCAUUGGGUGAAAGACUGUCUUAACAAAAGACCUAAGGCCCCUGCCAAGAUCUUGGAGAUGGAGGACCUGGACGACUAGGGGAGUCAGGGUUCGGCACCCCUCCCCGAGCCCAGGGUAAGUCUCAGAGUGGAGGGGCAACCUGUUGAAUUCCUAGUGGACACUGGGGCACAACAUUCGUUUUUUAUUACAACCCCAAGGGAAAAUGGCAAACAAGACUUCAUGGGUGCAAGGGGCCAUGGGUACCAAACAGUACUCAUGGACUACCCGAGGAACUGUGGAUCUCAGCAUGGGCCGAGUAUCCCACUCCUUCAUGGUCAUCCCUGAGUGUCCCUACCCGUUGUUAGGUUGGGAUUUGCUCACCAAGAUGGGGGCACAAAUUUGUUUCCACCCCGAAGGGGCAAAAAUCCUAAACAAUCCUAUUCAGGUGCUUGUCCUGAGUUUAGAAGACGAAUAUCGUCUCUAUCGUCUCCACCAAACGUCCUCAGCCCCAAUGACUGACAUUGACCGUUGGCUGCAGGAAUUCCCCAAGCAUGGGCAGAAACUGGGCCGGCACCGACUGGCCAUAUACAUAGAACUAAAGCCGGGGGCAGAUGCUGUCAGGGUCCGCCAAUACCCCAUGCCUCUCGUAGUGCAUAGGGGAAUCACACCCCACAUACGGCUACUACUGGACUCGGGCAUAUUGAGGCCUUGCCAAUCGGCACGGAACACUACCUUGCUGCCGGUUCGGAAACCACACUCUAACGAUUACAGGACAGUCCAGGACUUAAGGGAAGUCAACCAGCGAGUAGAGGAUAUACACCCUACGGUCCUAAACCCAUACACCCUCUUCUAUUUAAAAGAUGCCUUUUUCAGCCUGCCUUUAGCACCCAAGAGCCAAGACCUCUUCACCUUUGAAUGGAUGGACCCUGAGAAGCAUCAAUGGCCAGCUCACCUGGACUUGACUACCACAAGGAUUCAAAAAUUCACUGACCAUCUUCGAUGAGGCCUUACAUGAAGACUUGGGUGAGUUCCAUUCCGAGCACCCUCAUUUGAUAUCCUGUUGGUGGCGGAGGACCAGGACGCAUGCUUGCAAAGCACCAGGGACUUGAUACAAACCAUAGUGGCUCUAGGAUACUGGGCCUCAGCUAUAAAAGCCCAGAUCUGCAGAGCAGAGGUGAGCAACCUUGGGUACAAAUUAAAGGAUGGACAAAGAUGGUUGAUGGAUGCACGGAAGGAAACCGUCGUAAGGAUCCCACAGCCACAAACUGUCCCCCGGGAUGGACAGAGGCCUUUCCCACCAAACAUGCAGCACAGACCGUGACCAAGAAACUGCUGAAAGACAUCUUACCGAGGUAUGGCUUUCCUGUUAAGACUGGAUCAGACAACGGCCCAGGAUUCGUCUCUAAGGUAACACGGGGAGUGGCACUAGUACUUGGGGCAGAUUGGAAAUUACAUUGUUCAUAUCCCAAAGCUCAGGACAGGUAGAGAGGAUGAACAGAACAUUAAAGGAGACUUAACUAAAUUAGCCCUGAAGACUGGCGGGGACUGGUUGACUCUCCUCCCCUUUGCCCUAUAUAGGGUGAGGAACUCCCCAUAUAAGAUGGGACUGACUCCCUACAAGGCCAUGUUCGGUAUUCCUCCACCUAUUAUCCCCAAUUUAGCAGCAGGUCUCCAAGGUGAACAGCCUCUGGCAUGUUGGAAUGUGAAGAAGGGUUCCAUGUGAACAGCAGUUGAACAUGGGUCAGUUGGUCCUGAGAGAUGGGCGAGCGCCAUUCUGAAGGGACGGGGGAUGGCCUCCGUUGCCCUCAGCCAAUCGGAAGGGAGUCGGGUUCAGAUCCCCGAAUCUGGAGUGGUGGAGAUGGGCGCCUAGGCGUCCAGUGCGGUAAUGCAACCGAUCCUGGAGAAGCUGGCAGGAGCCCCAGGGAGAGUUCUCUUUCCUUUGUGAAGGGCAGGGCGCCCUGGAAUGGGCUUGCCCGAGAGAGGGCCCGUGCCUUGGAAGCCUCACGGUUCCGGCGGCAUCCGGUGUGGCCUAAACUGAGGGCCCUCUACGAGACUGGGCCACCCCCCAGAUCCCCAUUGAUACCGGCCAGGUGACUGGGUGUACGCGCGGAGAUACCAACACCAGACACUUCAACCUCACUGGAAGGGACCCUACAUCGUGAUCCUGACCACUCCCACCACUCUCAAGGUUGCCGGGAUUACUCCCUGGGUCCACUACACCCACAUCCGGCCAGCUGAUCCACAGGCUGUUCUCAAGGACUUUGUUCCAGAAUGGAAAAGCCAACCAGACAAGGACAAUCCCCUAAAGCUAAGACUGUGCUGUUCUCACUUACCCCACUAAUGUUGCUUCCCCGUUAGCCAUUUAAAAAUGUGCACCCAAUUCAGCCUUGCUUUUAAAGUCUUUUAAGGGUUAAAAAAAUGGGAGCAUCUUAACUGUAGAGAGGCUUUUGCAGGCGGGGGGGCGGGGGGUGCGGGGUGCGGUUAUGUGUUGCCCCAAAUGAGGAGUGUUGCUUCUUUACUGACAACUCAGGAAUAGUCUGGGAAUCUAUGGCAAAAGUCAGAAAAGGUUUGGCUAGACGUAAACAGGAGCGAGAACAGCAACAAGGUUGGUUUGAAUCAUGAUUUAAUCAUUCCCACUGGCUCACUCUGAGACCAGCCUGGACCCAUGAUUGGGUCCUUCCUUAGGUUCCUCUGAGAGGGGGAAAUGUGGAGGCCAAGAAAAAUCCAGGCCAUUCCACCUCAAGUUUAGCGUUAACACAAGUACAGCCAUCCCAGGCCCCUGGGAAUAAGAGCUGAACUUUACCUUACUUCACAUACAGGAAGAAAACAGCUUACAGCUUAACAACCUAGAAAGCCCCAUAUUAGAACAAGAACAGAGCCCAAGCCAAGGGCAAGAAGCCCCUAUUAGAAUAACAGAGCUCAAUGCCCUUGAAAGCCCCAUAUCAAAAUGUAAACAGAACUUGAGAAAUUCCUCCACCCCUUCUGGAGGUCCCCUAGACCAGCCUAUAAAAAACUAAGCUGAAACCCAUCUCAGGGUCCAAGUCCUUGCUCCGCUGUGUAGGGUAUACUUGGACCCAAGCUCGAGCUUGUAAAUAAACCCUCGUGUGCUUG